GGUGAGAUGGCCGAGUUGGUUAUGGCGCCAGGUUAAGGUCCUGGUCACGAAAGUGGCGUGGGUGUAAGUUGCUACAUUGUAACAUAUUAAUUUCAUUUACUAAUAUGUUCGUUGUAGUCGAGUCCCACUCUCAUCA
rnacentral:tRNA from 1 species